rnacentral:RNase_P_RNA from 1 species
AUAUAAUUUAAAUUUGUCGCUUUAAUAUAAUUCAUAUUAAAGAGGAAAGUCCGGACAACAUAGAGUAAUCUGCUUCUUAACGAGAAGGUAUUAUUUAUGUAAAUAAUAACAGAUAGUGUCACAGAAAAUAACCGCCUAAAAAAAAGGUAAGGGUGAAAAUAUAGAUUAAGAACCUAUGUUAGAUAUAUAGUAAUAUAUACUAAGGAUAAACCUCAGAUGUUGAAAGAUCAAAUUUUUUAUGAUUAUAUUUUUAAUCUAAAGCUACUCGCUUUAUACUUUUUUGUAGUAAAAAAGGUGGAUCGAUUGAUUAAUUAAGUAAUUAAUUAACUAGAUAAAUGACAAAUAUUUUUAAAUAAAAUACAGAAUCCGGCUUAAUAAAUUAUAUAUAU